GUGCUCACUUCAACAGCACAUAUACUAAAAUUGGAAUGAUAGAGAGAUUAUCACGAACCCUGUGCAAAGAUCACAUGCAAAUUCCUGAAGCGUGCCAUAUUUUU
rfam:Felis catus isolate Cinnamon breed Abyssinian chromosome B2, whole genome shotgun sequence.